rfam:Pelodiscus sinensis unplaced genomic scaffold scaffold4139, whole genome shotgun sequence.
AAGACUGUACUUUUGGGGAUCAUUUCUAUAGUUAGUAACUAGAGAAAUGCAGCUGAAAGUGGUUGGUCUCAUCAGCUGUGAGAAUGAGUGAUAGUGUUCUCUUCUUAGCAUAAAGCAAGCAGCCAGUGUUGUUUUAAUAUCAUUGUUGUCUGCUGUUGAUGAUUUUUCCUUUGUUCCUUUUGGGAAGUUGGAGGAAGAGAACACAAGCUGAAUGGU